rnacentral:rRNA from 1 species
UACGUAGGGUGCGAGCGUUAAUCGGAAUUACUGGGCGUAAAGCGUGCGCAGGCGGUUCGUUGUGUCGGCGGUGAAAGCCCCGGGCUCAACCUGGGAAUGGCCGUUGAAACUGGCGAACUGGAGUGUGGCAGAGGGGGGUGGAAUUCCGCGUGUAGCAGUGAAAUGCGUAGAGAUGCGGAGGAGCACCGAUGGCGAAGGCAGCCCCCUGGGCUAACACUGACGCUCAUGCACGAAAGCAUGGGGAGCAAACAGG